rnacentral:rRNA from 1 species
CCUGGUUGAUCAAGCCAGUAGUCAUAUGCUUGUCUUAAAGAUUAAGCCAUGCAUGUGUAAGUAUGAACUAAUUCAAACUGUGAAACUGCGAAUGACUCAUUAAAUAAGUUAUAGUUUGUUUUAUGGUACUUGCUACUCAGAUAACUGUAGUAAUUCUAGAGGACCUAGUUUGUUGCUCUGAUGAUUCAUGAUAACUUGACGGAUCGCACGACCUUUGUGCUGGCGACGCAUCAUUCAAAUUUCUGCCGUAUCAACUUUCGAUGGUAGGAUAGUGGCCUACUAUGGUGGUGACGGGUGACGAAGAAUUAGGGUUCGAUUCCGAAGAGGGAGCCUGAGAAACGGCUACCACAUCCAAGGAAGGCAGCAGGUGCACAAAUUACCCAAUCCUGACACGGGGAGGUAAUGACAAUAAAUAACAAUACUGGGCUCUUUGAGUCUGGUAAUUAGAAUGAGUACAAUCUAAAUCCCUUAACGUAUAUUUAAGGGCAAGUCUGGUGCCAGCAGCCGUGGUAAUUCCAACUCCAAUAGCGUAUAUUUAAGUUGUUGCAGUUAAAAAGCUCGUAGUUGGAUCUCGAGAUAUGUCUGUCGGUCCGCCUUAUGGUGUGCACUAUCAGUCGCGUCCUUUAUGCCAGCGAUGCGUUCCUUGCCUUAAUUGGCCAGGUCGUUCCUCCGGCGCUGUUACUUUGAAGAAAUUAGAGUGCUCAAAGCAAGCCUUUGCUCUGUAUACAUUAGCAUGAGAUAAUGUCAUAGAAUUUCAAUCCUAUUAUGUUGGCCUUUGGGAUCAGAGUAAUGAUUAACAGGGACAGUCCGGGACAUUCAUAUUUCAUAGUCAUAAGUAAAAUUCUUGGAUUUAUGAAAGAUGAACAACUGCGAAAGCAUUUGCCAAGGAUGUUUUCACUAAUCAAGAACGAAAGUUGGGGGCUCAAAGACGAUCAGAUAUCGUCCUAGUCUAAACCAUAAACGAUGCUGACUAGGGAUCGGUGAAUGUUGCUUAUAGGACAUCGCCGACACCUUCUGAGAAAUCAAAGUUUUGGGUUUUGGGGGGAGUAUGGUCGGAAGGCUGAAACUUAAAGGAAUUGACGGAAGGGCACCACCAGGAGUGGAGCCUGUGGCUUAAUUUGACUCAACACGGGGAAACUUACCAGGUCCAGACCAGUAAGGAUUGACAGACUGAGAGCUCUUUUUUUUUUGAUAAGUAAGUGUAUAAAGAAAGAAGAGAAAGAUACAGGAGACCCGAGAAAAUGAGGAGGAAACCACAAGAUGGAGACUCUCCAACAAAGAUUCGAAAAAGCUAGAACAAAGAAACAACAUAAGAAUUGGAGAGCCUCGGAAGGAGACCGGGAUGGCCAAAACAACAAAUGUAGCCAUAGCAACAAAAGGCCAGAAGACUACAAAAUAACCGAAGAGCAGAAUCCCGAAGCAUCAAGA